rnacentral:rRNA from 1 species
UACGAAGGGGGCUAGCGUUGUUCGGAAUUACUGGGCGUAAAGCGCACGUAGGCGGAUCGAUCAGUCAGGGGUGAAAUCCCGGGGCUCAACCCCGGAACUGCCUUCAAAACUGCGGGUCUGGAGGUCGAGAGAGGUGAGUGGAAUUCCGAGUGUAGAGGUGAAAUUCGUAGAUAUUCGGAGGAACACCAGUGGCGAAGGCGGCUCACUGGCUCGAACCUGACGCUGAGGUGCGAAAGCGUGGGGAUCAAACAGG